GGAAAGUGUGUGUGUGUGUGUGUGUGUGUGUGUGUGUGUGUGUGUGUGCUGAGCGCAUGGUUUACGUCACACACACACACACACACACACAC
rnacentral:miRNA from 1 species